rnacentral:rRNA from 1 species
CCUACGGGAGGCAGCAGUGGGGAAUCUUGCGCAAUGGGCGAAAGCCUGACGCAGCCAUGCCGCGUGAAUGAUGAAGGUCUUAGGAUUGUAAAAUUCUUUCACCGGGGACGAUAAUGACGGUACCCGGAGAAGAAGCCCCGGCUAACUUCGUGCCAGCAGCCGCGGUAAUACGAAGGGGGCUAGCGUUGCUCGGAAUUACUGGGCGUAAAGGGAGCGUAGGCGGAUAGUUUAGUCAGAGGUGAAAGCCCAGGGCUCAACCUUGGAAUUGCCUUUGAUACUGGCUAUCUUGAGUGUGGGAGAGGUAUGUGGAACUCCGAGUGUAGAGGUGAAAUUCGUAGAUAUUCGGAAGAACACCAGUGGCGAAGGCGACAUACUGGCCCAUUACUGACGCUGAGGCUCGAAAGCGUGGGGAGCAAACAGGAUUAGAUACCCUGGUAGUCCACGCUGUAAACGAUGAGUGCUAGUUGUCGGCAUGCAUGCAUGUCGGUGACGCAGCUACGCAUAAGACACUCCGCCGUCGGGUAGGUACGGUCGCGAGAGUUAAAACGUUAAAGUAAGUUAGUACGGCGUGAGACGUCGCCGACGGACGACGACGAGGGAGUUAGG